rnacentral:lncRNA from 1 species
AGCGGUGGAGAACCAGUGUCCUGCGCAUGCGCCCCGCAGGUCGGGUGCGGGAGAAACCUGGCAGCCACUUUGACGCGAGCGGGCGGCCUCGGCCACAGAGCCCUUGACAAGGGCGCCGGACAAGCCCAGGCUAUCCUGCUCAUCGUACCUUCCGUUGCAUUGCCAGGCCUGCCGCUCGGCCCCAAGGCUGGGCCAGUGAAGUGAGUCCUCCCACACGGCCCGACUCAGCGCAGCAGCUCGUCCUAGUGUCCUCCCCGCCCCGCUACCGAAAGUGCAGCUGCCGCCCAAGGAGAGCAACCUCUUCAAACGUAUCCUGCGUGGAAAUUGUGCUACAUCCAAAAGAGGGCCCGUCUACUCAAGUGUUUUAGUACUUCACUCCUUUGCAUUUGGAUUCAGAUUGCUAUUGACCACAAGAUCUUCCAGAGAAGAGCAGUCAUUGAUAACAAGGUCAUUAAAUCGGUCUUGGACCAACUCCAUUGUUUGUGGGAGAUAUCAGCUGGAAUAAACCACUUUCUAUACCAGCCUUUCUUGGAAACGUUCAGUAAAUUUUUCUUCCCACAACUCUUAUUUGUCUGUUGAAUUCCUCUUCAUUUUCCAUCCUCAUGUGCUCUGUGAAUGGAUUGUCAUCUUGGUGAGAGUAACCAUUAAUAAUCACAUCUUCAUUGAUGAUGCUUGGGCUAGUACUGCUGCAACUUUCAUGGUUGGUGUUAGUUGUCAUUUUUAACCCAGUGCAUGGCAGCAGAGAUGGCAGUCAGUGAGCAGUCCUCCUCUCCCGCUCUAUGUGUACCUUCAUUGUACAGUGCAAUCCUGAUUAAAUGGGGACCCAGGGGGGAAGCAAGUCAUAUAGCAAGCAUAGAAGGAAUGAGCAAGCGGUUUUGGUAAGGGGUGGGUCAGGGUUCUUUUCUGGAAAGGGG